rnacentral:rRNA from 1 species
UCGGCUCCCGCUAUCGGAUGAGCCUAUGUCGGAUUAGCUAGUUGGUGAGGUAACGGCUCACCAAGGCCACGAUCCGUAGCUGGUCUGAGAGGAUGAUCAGCCACAUCGGGACUGAGACACGGCCCGAACUCCUACGGGAGGCAGCAGUGGGGAAUAUUGGACAAUGGGGGGAACCCUGAUCCAGCCAUGCCGCGUGUGUGAAGAAGGCCCUCGGGUUGUAAAGCACUUUCAGCGAGGAAGAACGCCUAGCGGUUAAUACCCGCUAGGAAAGACAUCACUCGCAGAAGAAGCACCGGCUAACUCCGUGCCAGCAGCCGCGGUAAUACGGAGGGUGCAAGCGUUAAUCGGAAUUACUGGGCGUAAAGCGCGCGUAGGUGGCUUGAUAAGCCGGUUGUGAAAGCCCCGGGCUCAACCUGGGAACGGCAUCCGGAACUGUCAAGCUAGAGUGCAGGAGAGGAAGGUAGAAUUCCCGGUGUAGCGGUGAAAUGCGUAGAGAUCGGGAGGAAUACCAGUGGCGAAGGCGGCCUUCUGGACUGACACUGACACUGAGGUGCGAAAGCGUGGGUAGCAAACAGGAUUAGAUACCCUGGUAGUCCACGCCGUAAACGAUGUCGACCAGCCGUUGGGUGCCUAGCGCACUUUGUGGCGAAGUUAACGCGAUAAGUCGACCGCCUGGGGAGUACGGCCGCAAGGUUAAAACUCAAAUGAAUUGACGGGGGCCCGCACAAGCGGUGGAGCAUGUGGUUUAAUUCGAUGCAACGCGAAGAACCUUACCUACUCUUGACAUCCUGCGAAUUCUGUAGAGAUACCUUAGUGCCUUCGGGAACGCUGAGACAGGUGCUGCAUGGCUGUCGUCAGCUCGUGUUGUGAAAUGUUGGGUUAAGUCCCGUAACGAGCGCAACCCUUGUCCUUAUUUGCCAGCGCGUAAUGGCGGGAACUCUAAGGAGACUGCCGGUGACAAACCGGAGGAAGGUGGGGACGACGUCAAGUCAUCAUGGCCCUUACGAGUAGGGCUACACACGUGCUACAAUGGUCCGUACAAAGGGUUGCCAACUCGCGAGAGUGAGCCAAUCUCGAAAAGCCCAUCUCAGUCCGGAUCGGAGUCUGCAACUCGACUCCGUGAAGUCGGAAUCGCUAGUAAUCGUAGAUCAGAAUGCUACGGUGAAUACGUUCCCGGGCCUUGUACACACCGCCCGUCACACCAUGGGAGUGGACUGCACCAGAAGUGGUUAG